GGAAAUUUUUUGGGGCGUAAAGGGCUCGUAGGCGGUUUGUCGCGUCGGUUGUGAAGCCCGGGGGCUUAACCCCGGGUCUGCAGUCGAUACGGGCAGGCUGAGUUCGGUAGGGGAGAUCGGAAUUCGUGGUUGUAGCGGUGAAAUGCGCAAAUAUCAGGAGGAACACCGGUGGCGAAGGCGGAUCUCUGGGCCGAUACUUGACGCUGAGGACCGAAAGCGUGGGGAGCGAACAGGAUUAAAUACCCUGGUAGUCCACGCCGUAAACGGUGGGCACUAGGUGUGGGCGACAUUCCACGUCGUCCGUGCCGCAGCUAACGCAUUAAGUGCCCCGCCUUGGGGAGUACGGCCGCAACGCUAAAACUCAAAGGAAUUGACGGGGGCCCGCACAAGCGGCGGAGCAUGUGGCUUAAUUCGACGCAACGCGAAGAACCUUACCAGGGCUUGACAUACACCGGAAAACCCUGGAGACAGGGUCCCCCUUGUGGACGGUGUACAGGUGGUGCAUGGCUGUCCUCCGCUCCUGGCCUGAGAUGUUGGGGUUAAGUCCCGCAACGAGCGCAACCCUUGUCCCGUGUUGCCAACAAGUCCUUGUGGUGCUGGGGACCUCACUGCAGACCACCGGGGUCAACUCGGAGGAGAGUGGGGACGACGUCCAGUCAUCUUGCCCCUAUGUCUUGGGCUGCACACGUGCUACAAUGCCCAGUACUAUGAGCUGCGAUACCUCGAGGUGGAGCCGAAUCUCAAAAAUCCGGUCUCAGUUCGGAUUGCAACUCUGCAACUCUACCCCAUGAAUUCGGAAGUCGCUAGUAUCGCAUAUCAGCAUUGCAUGCGUGACUACGUUCUCUGGACCCUCGUACACUCCGACCAGUCACAGUCACGAAAGUCCGUAGCACCGCGAGGUAAGCCGUUCUAGACGCAUGCUGGCCAAGGAGCUGUUCCGAUGUAUUGACGUGGCAGAAUUCUGUGUGGAACCA
rnacentral:rRNA from 1 species